rnacentral:tRNA from 2 species
GGAGGGGUACCCAAGCGGCCAACGGGGGCAGACUGUAAAUCUGCUGGCUUAGCCUUCGUAGGUUCGAAUCCUACCCCCUCCACCA